rnacentral:rRNA from 1 species
UAGGUAGGCAGCAAGCAGUGUUCGGAAUCACUGGGCGUAAAGGGUGCGUAGGCGGGUCUUUAAGUCAGGGGUGAAAUCCUGGAGCUCAACUCCAGAACUGCCUUUGAUACUGAGGAUCUUGAGUUCGGGAGAGGUGAGUGGAACUGCGAGUGUAGAGGUGAAAUUCGUAGAUAUUCGCAAGAACACCAGUGGCGAAGGCGGCUCACUGGCCCGAUACUGACGCUGAGGCACGAAAGCGUGGGGAGCAAACAGG